CUGCAGAUGGACCAUCAGACUCAACUGACUUCAAAGGUGGAUUACUCUCUCACACACAGCGGAUGAGUUUGCGGCUGAAAUGAUGCCAUCUGUGUUCCUCCUCUACGUGUUGUGGGCGUUGUGUCCUCUCUCUGUGGGACUGCCCCUCACCUGUCCUUCAUCUCUGAAUCUCAAUCCUCAGCAGGGAUCUGGGAAACUGUGCGCAACAUUGCAGCUGCAGCCCAAGUUUCCCUGUCCCAAUAUAAGCCUGUCAGUGAGUGACAAUGAGCAACUCAGUCCUGAAACAUGGCAUCUGGAGAGUCUGUCGGUAAAGGUGGAAAAAAACUGCAGUUUUAUGGUGAUUCAACAAGACAAGCAGAGUCAACAUUUUCCUGGAGGAUCCUAUUCAAGCAUUGCUAUAAACUCCAUCAGUACACAUGCAGAAUUUCUGUGCGUUUGCACAAAAUUUCACAUCAGAUUCAAACGUACUCCAACAGCUAAAGAUUUUCAAAAUAGACAUGUAUUGGAAUACAUUGACAAUACAGAUAACAACUUUUGGGGUAACGUUUGGAGCAAUUCGAAAAAUGUUAGAGCACGUUUACCACGCAGGCAAUCCUUCAUGACGAAAGAUGAGUUUAACAAAAUCAAGUUCACAAAGGAAUUUCCAAUUGAAAUUGAAAGUGAAAGACAUGGACUGAAAACAUUAUAUAGAAGUGACCAUAAAAUUGAUAUUUAUGAUGUCAGUAAAAUAAAGGGCCAAAUUAAAGUCACCCAAAGGAAUGAUUAUGUUGUGGCUGAUUUAGACAACAAUGAUAAGCCGAUUCACUUUGAAAAUGGUG
ensembl:processed_transcript